GUUCAUUAUGGCUGCACGACGUCUCGGGCUGAUAAUGUUGUGCUUAUAUGAUCCUUGUACAAGAUUUGUCCGAGAGGCAGAAGAAAUCAAUCCUGUUUGACAAUGUCUUCGGGAUACUUGACCGUGACAAGCUUGCAAACAACAAGGAGACUUGGAAAGAAAAGUAAAGCAAUGCGCGUGCGGCCCACGCAAUGUCAGUUCCUGUUUGAGUUUAAUCAAGCUCUUGGAAGACUCUCUGGAUUGGCACGGAGAAGCAGAAUGACAACUGGCAGCCUCUCUGCUCCGGGUCAGAGGGUGUGAUGAUGCGGACAUGAGGUUUACCGGGACAACCAGGAUCCUUGCUAUAGUAAUGCCCAAUUAAAUACUCUAAGUAGCCCGUUAGCAGCACAGACUUCCUGCGUAGCGCCUGCAUGUUGGUCAUGUUAAAAACCUGCAAAACAAUAUUGUCAACAACAAAAACGAAAGUUUUGUCAUGGACAUCAUUUCAGGUUUUCCUUCUCAUACAAAUCAUUUCAGGGUUUCCUCUCAUACAAACUACAGAAAAGCUC